rnacentral:rRNA from 1 species
AAUCCAUAGGUUAAUGAGGCGAACCGGGGGAACUGAAACAUCUAAGUACCCCGAGGAAAAGAAAUCAACCGAGAUUCCCCCAGUAGCGGCGAGCGAACGGGGAGGAGCCCAGAGCCUGAAUCAGCAUGUGUGUUAGUGGAAGCGUCUGGAAAGGCGCGCGAUACAGGGUGACAGCCCCGUACACAAAAGCGCAUGUGCUGUGAGCUCGAUGAGUAGGGCGGGACACGUGGUAUCCUGUCUGAAUAUGGGGGGACCAUCCUCCAAGGCUAAAUACUCCUGACUGACCGAUAGUGAACCAGUACCGUGAGGGAAAGGCGAAAAGAACCCCGGCGAGGGGAGUGAAAAAGAACCUGAAACCGUGUACGUACAAGCAGUGGGAGCCCCACCACUAAGCCAGUGGUGAACUCCACAUCCGCAUCCUUUGCUGAGGAUACGGUUAACGGAGCGAAAGCGACGUUCAACCGCAAAACAAGCAGAGGGGGCUUAGUGGUGGGGUGACUGCGUACCUUUUGUAUAAUGGGUCAGCGACUUAUAUUCUGUAGCAAGGUUAACCGAAUAGGGGAGCCGGAGGGAAACCGAGUCUUAAUUGGGCGUUAAGUUGCAGGGUAUAGACCCGAAACCCGGUGAUCUAGCCAUGGGCAGGUUGAAGGUUGGGUAACACUAACUGGAGGACCGAACCGACUAAUGUUGAAAAAUUAGCGGAUGACCUGUGGCUGGGGGUGAAAGGCCAAUCAAACCGGGAGAUAGCUGGUUCUCCCCGAAAGCUAUUUAGGUAGCGCCUCGUGAAUUCAUCUCCGGGGGUAGAGCACUGUUUCGGCUAGGGGGCCAUCCCGGCUUACCAACCCGAUGCAAACUGCGAAUACCGGAGAAUGUUAUCACGGGAGACACACGGCGGGUGCUAACGUCCGUCGUGAAGAGGGAAACAACCCAGACCGCCAGCUAAGGUCCCAAAGUCAUGGUUAAGUGGGAAACGAUGUGGGAAGGCCCAGACAGCCAGGAUGUUGGCUUAGAAGCAGCCAUCAUUUAAAGAAAGCGUAAUAGCUCACUGGUCGAGUCGGCCUGCGCGGAAGAUGUAACGGGGCUAAACCAUGCACCGAAGCUGCGGCAGCGAACGUAUCACCCAAGACAACUUUACGGAGUUGACGAUUGACGGAGCGAAGCGACGUCAAAGCGUUCAUUAAAGUCGAGUUGGCUUAGGGAUACGUUCGUUGGGUAGGGGAGCGUUCUGUAAGCCUGUGAAGGUGUGUCGUGAGGCAUGCUGGAGGUAUCAGAAGUGCGAAUGCUGACAUAAGUAACGAUAAAGCGGGUGAAAAGCCCGCUCGCCGGAAGACCAAGGGUUCCUGUCCAACGUUAAUCGGGGCAGGGUGAGUCGACCCCUAAGGCGAGGCCGAAAGGCGUAGUCGAUGGGAAACGGGUUAAUAUUCCCGUACUUGGUGUUACUGCGAAGGGGGGACGGAGAAGGCUAUGUUGGCCGGGCGACGGUUGUCCCGGUUUAAGCGUGUAGGUGUGUGUUCCAGGUAAAUCCGGUUCACUUUAACACUGAGGCGUGACGACGAGGCACUACGGUGCUGAAGCAACAAAUGCCCUGCUUCCAGGAAAAGCCUCUAAGCAUCAGGUAACACGAAAUCGUACCCCAAACCGACACAGGUGGUCAGGUAGAGAAUACCAAGGCGCUUGAGAGAACUCGGGUGAAGGAACUAGGCAAAAUGGUGCCGUAACUUCGGGAGAAGGCACGCUGACAC